rfam:Verruconis gallopava strain CBS 43764 unplaced genomic scaffold supercont1.28, whole genome shotgun sequence.
GGUUGUAUAGUGUAGCGGUUAGCACAUCGGAUUCUGAUUCCUGAUCGGAUUAGAAAUUUCCGGUAACCCCGGUUCGAUUCCGGGUACGACCU